AGUGAACGCUGGCGGUAGGCCUAACACAUGCCAGUCGAACGGCAGCACAGUAAGAGCUUGCUCUUACGGGUGGCGAGUGGCGGACGGGUGAGGAAUACAUCGGAAUCUACUUUUUCGUGGGGGAUAACGUAGGGAAACUUACGCUAAUACCGCAUACGACCUACGGGUGAAAGCAGGGGGUCUUCGGACCUUGCGCGAUUGAAUGAGCCGAUGUCGGAUUAGCUAGUUGGCGGGGUAAAGGCCCACCAAGGCGACGAUCCGUAGCUGGUCUGAGAGGAUGAUCAGCCACACUGGAACUGAAACACGGUCCAGACUCCUACGGGAGGCAGCAGUGGGGAAUAUUGGACAAUGGGCGCAAGCCUGAUCCAGCCAUACCGCGUGGGUGAAGAAGGCCUUCGGGUUGUAAAGCCCUUUUGUUGGGAAAGAAAAGCAGCAGGUUAAUACCCCGCUGUUCUGACGGUACCCAAAGAAUAAGCACCGGCUAACUUCGUG
rnacentral:rRNA from 1 species